CCAAGGAGUCUAACAUGUGCGCGAGUCGUCGAGUUGUACCAAACUCGAAGGCGAAAUGAAAGUAAAGGCUCGGUUUCCGAGCUGAGGGGAGAUCCCGUUCUGCUUCUGUAGCGCGGGCGCAUCCCCGGGGCGUCUAUACUGCGUUGCCAGUGAGACGAACCUAGAGCGUACACGUUGGGACCCGAAAGAUGGUGACCUAUGCCUGGCCAGGACGAAGCCAGGGGAAACCCUGGUGGAGGUCCGCAGCGAUUCUGACGUGCAAAUCGAUCGUCGGAGUUGGGUAUAGGGGCGAAAGACUAAUCGAACCAUCUAGUAGCUGGUUCCCCCCGAAGUUUCCCUCAGAUAGCUGGUGCUCGCAACAAGACACGGAGUUUCAUCCGGUAAAGCGAAUGAUUAGAGGCCUUGGGGUCGAAACGACCUCAACCUAUUCUCAAACUUUCAAUGGGUGAGAAGCCCGGCUUAGCCUAAGCGAAGCCGUGGCAGUCGAAUCCGAGCGCCCAGUGGGCCACUUUUGGUAAGCAGAACUGGCGCUGUGGGAUGAACCAAACGUCUGGUUAAGGCGCCCAAACAACGCACAUUCCGGAACCCACAAAAGGAGUUGGUUGCUAAAGACAGCAGGACGGUGGCCAUGGAGGUCGGAACCCGCUCAGGAGUGUGUAACAACUCACCUGCCGAAGCAACUAGCCCUUAAAAUGGGAGGCGCUAUAGCGUUGUGCCUAUACCAGACCGCCGGUGGCAGAGCCUGCCCCCUGUAAAGGGGUGCACUGAGGCCCCGGUGAGUAGGGGGGUCGCCGCGGUGAGCGUAAAAGGGUCUGGGCGUAAGCCUGCCUGGAGCCGCCGCUGGUGCAGAUCUUGGUGGUAGUAGCAAAUACUC
rnacentral:rRNA from 1 species